CAGGGACAGAGCCAGUCUUGCAGGUUUCCUGGGAACUGCUGGUGCUGCUGGGUUUAGCAGCAGCUUUCAGAGAAAAGCUUGGUGGAGCCCAUGGAGUCCUCUGUUCUGGGGUAUUUUUCUUGGCUCCCUGAGGCCUUAGGCAGUGUGGUCUCUCCUCCUUGUGACUCUGUCUGGGGUCUGUGCCAAGUUUAAGCCCUCUUCCCUGAAGAACAGGACACCACUGCAUCUGCAUCUGGCACAAAGGGGACAUGCUCAGAUGGAAGAAAUCCUUCCCCCCCCCAGACAUCUGGGCACCCCAGUGUCAGACCCAGGCACUUCUGGGGUUCGAGGGGCCAUAGGCACAAGUGUGGGAAGAUUGGAAGGACCUGGCUCUGGUCAUUUCCUCUGCUGGGUUUUUAGCCCUCCCUGUUCUUGCUGGAGAGCCUCUCCCUGGGUUAUUCUCCCUGACUGUGCAGUGAGGGUGCUACUGUUGCCGGAAUGGCCGCCAGGGUUCCUGUCUGGAGGCCUCAGAUGUGGUCACAGUCUUGUCCUCCAGUGCCCCCCAGUGUAUGUCUAGGCUCAUUGCGCCGUGACUGCUCAGCCUUUCCCUAGUUCCCUUAAACAUGGUAGACACUGCAUUCCUACCACAUGCAUUACCCUUUCCUUAGGGCUCUGAGAGACACCGUGCUGGCCCUAAAAAGAAUAAACUCUUCCUGGGAGCUGAAGGUAUACCUACCAGGGGACACUGAGAUCAGCAUGUAAUCUUAGAAAAACGUGGGAUUGUUAUUUGCAAUAAGAAAGAUAUAUUGGGUCUUUGUCCAUUGUUCUUGGCACAAAGCUCCUAAAAUCUUUGGAACGUCCUAAUUGAUGAGAGUGAUUAAGGUGUCUGGCUAGUCUAGUGAGAUGACCUUUUGAAUGCACUUUUGGUUGGGGCUGGUUUCCAAGAGAACCAGUCAUGAGAUUAGAGGGUUGAAAGGUUUCAGUCCCCUCCUGCUCCCAUCCCAGAGGUGGAGAAGAGGGGCUGGAGAUUGAAUUAAUCGCCAAUGGCUAAUGAUUUCAUCAGUCAUGACUUAUUAAUGAAACCUCCAUAAUGGAACUUCCCAUCUAUAGCCAGUCAGUCCAAACAAAGCACAGGUAACAAGCUAGGCUUGUGACUUUUGAAGUUGAGGCAGGGGAGGUCUUGUAGGACUGAACCAUUAACCUGUGUAAUUUGAUGCUAUCUUUUGGGGAUGGAGUCAGAGUUGAGUUGAAUUGUAGGUGCCUGGGAAUUGCAUGAUGGUAUAGAGGAAAGCCUCCCCCCCUGCCUUCCCCAACACACCUGUUAGAGUUGACUUCUAGAACCCUUUUCGUUGGAGUCAGGAGUGAGAUUUGCUAACUUGCCCCUGGCUUACAGAAACGUGGUUUGGGCAGAAAGAAUGAAAUAGCGUGGAAAGAAGAACUUUUGAUUCCUAGGCAGCCACAUGGUCACCUGUGGCAUGGAGCAGGUACUGUGUUAAGGUCAAUUACCAAAGGUAAAAAUCACCAGUGGAAUUUAGAGAUAGAUCCACCUCCUAUAGAGUUGAAUCACUGGAUGUAUAAGGAAAUGCAAAAGGAUAAGCAUACUCAACAUACAAUCAUGUGAUUCUUGUUUAUCUGCAAUAGCUAAAAUAAAAGUAGAAGAGAAUGCUGCUUUGGGCCUUGAUGCUAAACCAAGCUCAGACGUGAACCCAUCUAAGCUCUGGCUGCUAGCCUCCAAGCUGCCUAGACAGGGAAAAAUUAUGCAGGGCUAACAGAAAGUACCUCGAAGUCCUCUGGUUAUCAAGAAAGUAGUCAGAGUGGGGGAGGGCAAAAACCAUGAAGCUACUGAAAACGAAGAGUGUAAUGUGAGGGAAUUGUCUCAUUUUGUGGGUAUCAUCAGCUUCCUGGGGAACUUUUACUGAAAUAGACUCUAAGAAUAACUAAUUCAGGAGCCUUGUCUUUGGUUUUGAGUGCUACGGAGUAGAGUAGCAUAUUUGGAUUGGUACAGAACCCACAGCUCAUGAUGGAACAAUCACAGAUGUCUGUAUAUGAUCUGGACACACUGGAGGUUAUUUCCAAAGGGAACUCGUAAGGUCUGUUUACCCUGAGAAGCAGGACUGCCCACCUCCCCCAUGAAUGCCAAGUGGAAACCCCAGUCAACAGCUGGUGUGCUUUGCGUGCAAGCCCUGUGUGACUGUUACAGGAUGACUGGGAUGGUCACCGGCUGAAUGUGCCUAUUUCUCAGGUCACAGCAAGUGUUGUGGGUAAGGGGACCCCUUUCACAUGGGCACCCCCAAAUAACCUUUUUGCUGCAAAACCAAAGGAUAGUUUGGGAGGCCUUAACUGCCAUUGGAUGGGGAGGGCACAGACCCUGGCUGAGUCUUCCUAGCUUAGGGAAUGUCUUGAAAGACAGAGGAAAGAGUCUUUCCCCUUCAGAUCCCAGGAACCCCAAAACAGAGACUCAAGAGGAAUCUGGCAGUGAGCAUGGAGUCAGGUGAACUCAACAGGCUCCCAGAGUCAGAAGCACAAAGGGAGCCCUUCAGAGAUCCAGCCUGACCCAGUCUCUGAAGUAGCUUGUCCAUAGAGAAGAGGUGCUAAGUCUCUGUAAGGCCCACAGGUACCUAAUCCAUGCAAGGUGUCUUAUCACCACUGGUCUGGUGGGAGAGACAUAAAAUUGUCCCCACUUCACAGAUGGGCUCAAAGAAGUCAAGUACAAGGUCACACAACUGGUAAGUGGCCAAGCAGGAUGUCAAGCCCUUCUGAGAUCCCACAACUGACUGCCCCUUAAUAACAACCACAACUCACCCUGUGUGUGAGGUUGUGAUCUCAUACAUUGUUUAAUUCAUCCUCAUGUCAACCCCAUGGAGCUGCAGGUGUUAUUUCCAUUUUGCAGAUAAGAAGAUAAGAAAUAACAUGCCCAGGGCUCAUUGUCUAGUGGGUGCCUGAGCUAAGCAUUAAAAUUGAAGCACAGAUGUGCCUGGUAACCCAGGACCUUCUAAGACAUCACAAGGUUGUAGUAUGUGUCCCCUCUUAAUGUUAAUGGGGGAGUGAGAGUUUUCCUGGAAGAGCUGCCCUUCUAUCUCCCAGCCAAAGCUGGGAAGCCCCUAAGCCCCUCCCCAUCUCCCAGGACCUGCCCUGUCACAUGCAAUCAGCGUGCCCUCCAAGGAAGUCAAGUGCCACACGCUGUCUCCGCCCCCACCAGCAGGCCUAGCUGGUACUACUGUAACUUCUGUUCCUUCUCCCUUGUCACUUCCUGUGAUUACUGCAAGGACCCCUAAACACAUCUGGCUGAAAAUCAGCCCUUCCGUUUGCCCUGAGCACCUUCUCCCCCUAGAGCUGAGCAUUUAUGGGGCAUCCCCUCUAUUUCGAGGGCUUGCCUAUGAGCAAGAUACAACCCAGGGCAGCAGGUAAGAAAGAUGCUCAUCCAGAGACAGGGAGGCAGUGACCUCCACUUCCUGAGCCAGGAAUCCCAGGAUGCCUGGGUGCCCCACAUGCAAGAGGCAGUGCCGAACCAGUGUUCAUGCAAAACCAGGGCUCAUGCUUACUGGGGUCGUCCCUGCUAAGCACUGGACCUCCUCUCUUCCAUAUGAGUGUAACCAGUGAAGGCAAAAUUACCAUGUUCCUGUUUUAUAGAUGAGAACAGGGUGGCUCAACAAGCUCAGGUGAUUUGCUCAAGGGUUCAAAAGCCUGAAUCCCUGGGUGUGGGUUUCACCAUCUCAGGAUCAAGAAGCAGACAUAAGUGUUCUGCCUGCAGCUCUGAGGGCACCCAGCCUCCUCCCCACCCCAGCUCCACACUCGGCCCUUCAGGAGAUGAUGACAGUUGGCAGGAGGAAGAAGAGGAAGGAGAACGAGGCAGCUAGGUUGGGGGAGAUGUUGAACAUGGGAGUUCACAAGACCUCACCCCUUCCUGUCCUGGGCACUGUCUGCUGAGGUCUGGCCAAGGUCAAGUUGCAGGUGGUGGCAAGAGAUUGAAAUUCACAGUACAAGGACAGCAACCAUCCAUUCCUGUGUGGCUGUUUCUCUGGGCUCUACUUCAGGUCAGGCUGACCCUGAGCACUUCAUGUGGGCAGACAGUGCAGCUGCAGGUUUACUGUGUGUACAAGGAGCCGUCCAGCUGGCAGACGCACUUUCUCAUGACUCCACACUGUGGGCCUUCCUUAAUGGAGCUGCACACGCUCAAGGAAGCAGGUAAAAGCCUGCAUUGAAAAUUCAUGGCUCUGCAGCUGCCUCAUGGUACUGUUCUGGGUGCCCAGAUGUCACAGUCAGCACAAGGGUGGGGUGGGUCAUGUCGCAGCAUCCAACAGGAAGAUAGAAAUGAUUUUCCAAAAAGGGUUUUAGUAUAAGAAACAUGACCUUACAGGAAGCCAGCUGUAUGGAUGAGGAAGCGGAGGUCACAGUUCCGUUUGCUUUGUGUCAGUUUAGGAGUCACGCACUUUUAAAAUCAAGGUAAACACAAAGCAAAACAAAACAAAAACAGAAUG
rnacentral:lncRNA from 1 species